ACAUCCACGGGGCAUGACGUUACAACGGCGAGUGAAGCGGCAAAAGCUCAAAUUUGAAAUCUGGCACCUUCGGUGUCCGAGUUGUAAUUUGAAGAAGGUAACUUUGGAGUUGGCUCUUGUCUAUGUUCCUUGGAACAGGACGUCACAGAGGGUGAGAAUCCCGUGCGAUGAGAUGCCCAAUUCUAUGUAAAGUGCUUUCGAAGAGUCGAGUUGUUUGGGAAUGCAGCUCUAAGUGGGUGGUAAAUUCCAUCUAAAGCUAAAUAUUGGCGAGAGACCGAUAGCGAACAAGUACAGUGAUGGAAAGAUGAAAAGAACUUUGAAAAGAGAGUGAAAAAGUACGUGAAAUUGUUGAAAGGGAAGGGCUUGAGAUCAGACUUGGUAUUUUGCGAUCCUUUCCUUCUUGGUUGGGUUCCUCGCAGCUUACUGGGCCAGCAUCGGUUUGGAUGGUAGGAUAAUGACUAAGGAAUGUGGCUCUACUUCGGUGGAGUGUUAUAGCCUUGGUUGAUACUGCCUGUCUAGACCGAGGACUGCGUCUUUUGACUAGGAUGUUGGCAUAAUGAUCUUAAGCCACCCGUCUUGAAACACGGACCAAAA
rnacentral:rRNA from 1 species